rnacentral:tRNA from 1 species
UCCCUGGUGGCUCAAAAGGUUAGGAGCCAAUACUGUCACUGCUGUGGCGUGGGUUCAAUCCCUGGCCAGGGAA